rnacentral:rRNA from 1 species
GAUGAACGCUGGCGGCGUGCCUAAUACAUGCAAGUCGAGCGAACAGACGAGGAGCUUGCUCCUCUGACGUUAGCGGCGGACGGGUGAGUAACACGUGGAUAACCUACCUAUAAGACUGGGAUAACUUCGGGAAACCGGAGCUAAUACCGGAUAAUAUAUUGCACCGCAUGGUUCAAUAGUGAAAGUCGGUUUUGCUGUCACUUAUAGAGGGAUCCGCGCCGCAUUAGCUAGUUGGUAAGGUAACGGCUUACCAAGGCAACGAUGCGUAGCCGACCUGAGCGGGUGAUCGGCCACACUGGAACUGAGACACGGUCCAGACUCCUACGGGAGGCAGCAGUAGGGAAUCUUCCGCAAUGGGCGAAAGCCUGACGGAGCAACGCCGCGUGAGUGAUGAAGGUCUUCGGAUCGUAAAACUCUGUUAUUAGGGAAGAACAAAUGUGUAAGUAACUAUGCACGUCUUGACGGUACCUAAUCAGAAAGCCACGGCUAACUACGUG